rnacentral:ribozyme from 1 species
CAGUGGUGGACAAGAAUAUAGUAUUUUUGUUCGAUUGUUUGGUCAAGAAGAAGAGCAAUGGUUGCCGUGUGGGU